AAACUACCUCACAAAGUGGCUUUAACAUGAUUCCCUUCUUCCUCUCCCCAGCUGCCUAUCCUCCACUCAGUCCUAUUUUGGGACAAACAUUCCAGGGAUACCAAAGUUUUCAGGCAACUGAAAUAAUCUGAACAAGGCAUGUAAUAAAAUUACAUGUUAUGUGUGAGGAAGAAGUAA